UUGCGCGGUAUAUCAAGAAAGCGUGUUACCACAGGUAGUGAUCAAACUCUUAGUCCAUCAAUUUUGUGUGUAAUUCUGUUUCAACUUUUAUGUGCAUUAUUUGCAGGGAAGAUGUUGAUUGGUCCGGCGAAAGCUUUGUUCAUGGAUGGCAUAUCUACUGGGCUAGACAGCUCCACAACUGUUCAAAUCAUGAAAUGCCUUAGACAAAUUGUUCAUAUUCUAAAGUGAACUGCAUUUAUAGCCUUAUUGCAACCAGAGCCAGAGACAUGAGCUUUUUUCAUUAAAACAAGAUGCUACAUUUUUCAAUUUUUCUUGCAGCGUUUCCUAUUAAAGCUUGGAGGGCAAGAAAUUUAUGUCGACCCAUUAGGCCGUCAUUCUUACCAACUCAUCAACUACUUUGAGUCUGUUAAAGGGGUAAAUAAAAUCAGAGAUGGAUGUAACCCUGCAACUUGGAUGUUGGAAAUCACAACUCCAGCACGAGAAAUGGAUUUAAAUGUUGACUUUUCUGAUAUAUAUAAAAAUACAGAACUUUAUAGGAGAAAUAAAGAUCUUGUAGCAGAAUUGAGCAAGCCUGCU